rnacentral:tRNA from 1 species
GUCAGGAUGGCCGAGCGGUCUAAGGCGCCAGACUCAAGGAUGAUCUCCUUCCAGGAGCGUUGGGUGUUCUGGUCUCCAGAUGGAGGCGUGGGUUCAAAUCCCGCUCCUGACA